UACGUAGGUGGCAAGCGUUGUCCGGAUUUACUGGGUGUAAAGGGCGUGCAGCCGGAGAGGCAAGUCAGAUGUGAAAUCCGCGGGCUCAACCCGCGAACUGCAUUUGAAACUGCUUCCCUUGAGUAUCGGAGAGGUAACCGGAAUUCCUAGUGUAGCGGUGAAAUGCGUAGAUAUAUGGAAGAACACCAGUGGCGAAAGCGGCUCUCUGGUCUGUAACUGACGCUGAGGUUCGAAAGCGUGGGUAGCAAACAGG
rnacentral:rRNA from 1 species